AUUGAACGCUGGCGGCAUGCUUUACACAUGCAAGUCGAACGGUAACAGGUUAAGCUGACGAGUGGCGAACGGGUGAGUAAUGCAUCGGAACGUGCCCGGUCGUGGGGGAUAACACUUCGAAAGAAGUGCUAAUACCGCAUACGAUCUAAGGAUGAAAGCGGGGGACCGUAAGGCCUCGCGCGAUUGGAGCGGCCGAUGUCGGAUUAGGUAGUUGGUGGGGUAAAGGCUCACCAAGCCGACGAUCUGUAGCUGGUCUGAGAGGACGACCAGCCACACUGGGACUGAGACACGGCCCAGACUCCUACGGGAGGCAGCAAUGGGGAAUUUUGGACAAUGGGCGCAAGCCUGAUCCAGCAAUGCCGCGUGCAGGAAGAGGGCCUUCGGGUUGUAAACUGCUUUUGUACGGAGCGAAAAGGCUCUCUCUAAUACAGGGGGCUGAUGACGGUACCGUAAGAAUAAGCACCGGCUAACUACGUGCCAGCCGCCGCAGUAA
rnacentral:rRNA from 1 species